rnacentral:rRNA from 1 species
GACGAACGCUGGCGGCGUGCUUAACACAUGCAAGUCGAACGGUAAGGCUCCAGCUUGCUGGGGUACACGAGUGGCGAACGGGUGAGUAACACGUGGGUGACCUGCCCUGCACUUCGGGAUAAGCCUGGGAAACUGGGUCUAAUACCGGAUAGGACCGCACCGUGAGGGUGUGGUGGAAAGUUUUUUCGGUGUGGGAUGGGCCCGCGGCCUAUCAGCUUGUUGGUGGGGUAAUGGCCUACCAAGGCGGCGACGGGUAGCCGGCCUGAGAGGGUGGACGGCCACAUUGGGACUGAGACACGGCCCAGACUCCUACGGGGGGCAGCAGUGGGGAAUAUUGCACAAUGGGCGGAAGCCUGAUGCAGCGACGCCGCGUGGGGGAUGACGGCCCUCGGGUUGUAAACUCCUUUCACCAUCGACGAAGGGUUUCUGACGGUAGAUGGAGAAGAAGCACCGGCUAACUACGUGCCAGCAGCCGCGGUAAUACGUAGGGUGCGAGCGUUGUCCGGAAUUACUGGGCGUAAAGAGCUCGUAGGUGGUUUGUCGCGUCGUCUGUGAAAUUCCGGGGCUUAACUCCGGGCGUGCAGGCGAUACGGGCAUAACUUGAGUACUGUAGGGGAGACUGGAAUUCCUGGUGUAGCGGUGAAAUGCGCAGAUAUCAGGAGGAACACCGGUGGCGAAGGCGGGUCUCUGGGCAGUAACUGACGCUGAGGAGCGAAAGCAUGGGGAGCGAACAGGAUUAGAUACCCUGGUAGUCCAUGCCGUAAACGGUGGGCGCUAGGUGUGGGUUUCCUUCCACGGGAUCCGUGCCGUAGCUAACGCAUUAAGCGCCCCGCCUGGGGAGUACGGCCGCAAGGCUAAAACUCAAAGGAAUUGACGGGGGCCCGCACAAGCGGCGGAGCAUGUGGAUUAAUUCGAUGCAACGCGAAGAACCUUACCUGGGCUUGACAUAUACAGGAUCGCGCCAGAGAUGGUGUUUCCCUUGUGGCUUGUAUACAGGUGGUGCAUGGCUGUCGUCAGCUCGUGUCGUGAGAUGUUGGGUUAAGUCCCGCAACGAGCGCAACCCUUGUCUUAUGUUGCCAGCACGUUGUGGUGGGGACUCGUAAGAAACUGCCGGGGUUAACUCGGAGGAAGGUGGGGAUGACGUCAAAUCAUCAUGCCCCUUAUGUCCAGGGCUUCACACAUGCUACAAUGGUCGGUACAGUGGGUUGCCAGUCCGUGAGGGCGAGCUAAUCCCGCAAAGCCGGUCUCAGUUCGGAUCGGGGUCUGCAACUCGACCCCGUGAAGUCGGAGUCGCUAGUAAUCGCAGAUCAGCAACGCUGCGGUGAAUACGUUCCCGGGCCU